rnacentral:rRNA from 1 species
GUAGUCCACGCUGUAAACGAUGAGGACUAAAUGUUGGUAGGGGAACCUAUCGGUAUUGAAGCUAACGCGAUAAGUCUUCCGCCUGGGAAGUACGGCCGCAAGGUUGAAACUCAAAGAAAUUGACGGGGGCCCGCACAAGCGGUGGAGCAUGUGGUUUAAUUCGAUGCAACGCGAAGAACCUUACCUACCCUUGACAUCCUUCGAAUCCCGAUGAGAGUUGGGAGUGCCGAAAGGAGCGAAGAGACAGGUGCUGCAUGGCUGUCGUCAGCUCGUGUUGUGAGAUGUUGGGUUAAGUCCCGUAACGAGCGCAACCCUUGUCCUUAGUUACCAGCAUUCAGUUGGGGACUCUAAGGAGACUGCCGGUGAUGAACCGGAGGAAGGCGGGGACGACGUCAAGUCAUCAUGGCCUUUAUGGGUAGGGCCACACACGUGCUACAAUGGGGCGUACAGAGAGUCGCCAACCCGCGAGGGGGAGCCAAUCUCAGAAAGCGUCUCGUAGUCCGGAUUGGAGUCUGCAACUCGACUCCAUGAAGUUGGAAUCGCUAGUAAUCGCGAAUCAGCAUUGUCGCGGUGAAUA